CACCACUCAAGCCUCGCUUGGUAUUGGGCACCGCGGUCCGCCGCGCGCCUCAAUGACCCCGGCUGGGUCCUCUGUCCCUCAGCGUUGUGCAAACUAUUCGCUGGUAAGGGUGCGGGAGACGCACGCCGUUAAACCUCACACAA
rnacentral:misc_RNA from 1 species